GUGUGUCUGCCAGUUUCCUUAUUAUACUAUAUAUAUUAGUAGUAUAUAAUCGAUCGUUUCACGGCCCAUCCUUUUAACCGAUUUUGACAAAAUUCAGUACAUAGAUAACUUCUAUCCCAUAGGCUGCUUUUAUUCCGGAUUAAAAUAGUUUCCACGCGAACGAAGUUGUGGGCAUCUACUAGCUAAGAUAAACACUCUUUCUACGCUAUAAAAUGUUGCAAAGUUAUCAAAUUCAAGUUGUUUUUAUCUAUGAGGUAGCGGAGUAGGGAACUGAAUCUAAUAGGGAACCUAAUACUAAGAUGGAGCUUAAAUUACUGUAGACGACGUCCGGGCAUGGCCGCUAUAGCCCGGACGUCGUCUAAAGUGACAAAACAAAAAACAAAAAAAAAAAAAACAAAAAAAAAAAAAAAGACAAAAAAACAAAAAAAAUAC